GCUGGACUAUUCCGCGAUUGCUCCUCUGGCAACGUAAGCGCAUUCUACGGUUCACUGGCUCGCAGUUUUGAUCGCUCCCUUUUCCUCCGUUUUGCGGAGCUCAGCAGCAGAAGCUCCCGCAAGCUGCAAGCUUGAUGGGGCCGUGUGGUCGGGUCGGGAUCAUCUUUUUCCCCACGAACAGCUUCAGAUUGCAGAGAGAUCGAUUACUCUCCCGGGAGGAAGACUGAAUGGCAACCGGAUUGUAAUUGUAGGAAUAAUGAUGAACAUGACAAGCAAGAUGAUUCAUAUCA